UAGCAUAUCAGUUACAGAUAAGUAAGAUAAGUUAAUUGAUUCUUGGGUUCAAGAGAAGAGGAGGAUGAAGAAAUCUCUGAGUAGCUAACAAGGGCUAAGUAAGCAAUCCGAGGGGUUAAAGGUCUUGGCCAGAGGCCCAACAGUGGCUUUCUGACAGUUCUGGGAUUUGAACUCACAACCUUCUGGUCACUUCACUUACAGAAGGAGACGGUUAUCCUCAGAGACCACGAUGGGAGACGAAUGGAUGACCAUCUUCAUUACCAAAAACAGACACUACCAAUACCUGGAGAUGCCGUUUGCGCUAGUCAAUGCUUUAUUGUGUUCCAAGCCUUGAUUAGUGAAAUUCUUCCUGAAUUCCUUUAUUCCUGUCAUAUAUACAUUGAUGAUGACAUCCUGAUCGACUCCAAAUUUGAGAAGGAACACAUAAAACAGGUGAGAGCAGUCCUAAGAAACGCAAUUGAGAAUAACCGGUAUGUCACAUUUAAAAAGUGUGAAUGUCAUCAACGAUCUGUAAAGUUCUUAGGUUACGUCAUCGACAAAAAUGGGACUGAGACGAUUUUAGCAGGAAACAUGGCAAGCACCAUCACACACAGCACUGUUGCCGAACUUAUUAACAAAUCAGAAAGACUUGAAGUGUUGCGGACCAACUUCCAUGAAUAUCCACUGACGAAGGCACAACUGAUCUGGUGCUGGCAUACAUAGUCCCCUGGGUAUGGAGACCUUUGGGACACCCUGUAGAAAAAUAAUGCCUACAGAGAUGAACUACAACAUGGGGAACCAGGAACUCCUGGCUAUCAAGGCAGCCUUAAAAGAAUGGUGACAUCACUACUGAUUGUCAUCACUACUGAUCACUGGUUGUCAUCACUACUGAUCACAAGAACCUUGAUUAUGUCAAGUCUGCCAAAAGACUGAACCUGCAUCAAGUAAGCAACUCCAUUACAGUCAAGAAUUUACUGUAAACCACCUUGAGGAGGAACACGCUGGGACAGAGGCUUGCUGUGGUCAGCCGGACCUUCCUUUACGGCAGAGCUCUGUGGAGACACACACAUUAUACACAACCUAAAAUUUCUGAUUACUGUAGAUGUCUGUAAGUUGGACUCGCUACCUGUGGUUGUUGGACAGCAGUUGGAGGCCGCUGUUGAGUUCGAAUAGUUGCCCGAGUUGCUGAUUGGUUCAUCUUGGCCAGGACAACAUCGGCUAUCAUCUGCC